rnacentral:lncRNA from 1 species
AAAUGUGAGGGGUGUGGCGUUCCUCAGCACGCUUGGUCCCCAGGGAGCGCUGUUUGUUUGUUUGUUUGCUUGUUUGUUUGUCUGUUUGUUUAACGGAGCGCUGCGCUGGGCAUCCCGGCGACCGACGAGGACUUCGCUGAGUCCUCGGGGAGAUGCAAACGAGUCCGUUCUCUUUCUAGGAGCUCCAACUCGCAGCGCCAAGCGCCGAGGAUGCCGGACGGACUCAAGAUCCUAACUCUAACCUGAGGGACUGAGCGACUGCUCGCCCCAAAGUGUUCGCUCUCCUUCCUGGAAGAGCCACAAGGGGUUCGAGGCGACGCCCUAGGGACCCUUGGGAAGCGUCACGUCAGCCGCUUUCCCUCAUCCCUCGCUGUUGGGUGUCUGUGGAACAAACUCGUUUUCAGGACUGUGAUGACUAUUCUUCGUUGUCAACUUGACUAUAUCUGGAAUCACCUACAACCCAGAAAUGGAGAAGAGCACACCUGUGAGAGAUUGUCUGCUUAAAGUGGAUGAAUCCACUUCUAGUCCAGACCUUUGAGAACCUGUUCGUAAGGACUACCAGAUGCAGUUCCCUUUCAGAUGGAAGGCCAGCAGUAUACCUUUACAGUUUUACCUCAAGGAUAUAUAGACUCUCCUGUUCUGUGUCAUAACUUAGUUAGAAGGGAACUUGAUUGUCUGACUCUUCCACAAAAUAUCACAUUGGUGCACUAUAUUGACGAUAUUAUGCUGACUGGACCAAGUGAACUGGAUGUAGCUACUCAUUGGUAACAACAGAUAUGAAUCAGAAGAUAGGAAAAAUUCAAGAACUGUCUACAACAGUGAAAUCCUUAGGAGUCCAGUGGUGUGGGGAAUGCAGAGAUAUUCCUUGUAAGGUGAAGAAUAAAUAAUUGCAGUUGACCCCACCCCCCACCAAGAAAGAAGCAUAAUGUUUAGUGGGCCUAUUUGGCUUCUGGAAGCAUUACAACUCUCACAUGGGUUUGUUACUCCAGGCCAUAUACUAAGUGACUUGGAAAGCUGUUAGUUUUGUGUGGGGCCUGGGACAGGAGAAGGCUCAACAGAUCCAGGCUACUGUGCAGGCUGUUCUACCACUUGGAUGACAUGAUCCAGCAGACCCAAUGGUACUUGAGGUGUCAGUGACAGAACGGGAAUGCUGUUUGGAGCUUUGGCAUACCAAUAGGUGAAUCACAGAAAAGACCUUUGAGAUUUUGGAACAAGGCUCUACCGUCAUCUGCAGACAACUAUUCUCCCUUUAAAGACAGCUCUUGGCCUGCUAUUGGGCCUCAGUGGAAACUGAACAUUUGACAAUGAGCCAGCAAGUUACCAUGCGACCAGAGCUGCCCAUCAUGAGCUAAGUAUUAUUGGACCACCAAAUCAUAAAGUAGGACAUGCACAGCAGCAAUCCAUUAUCAAAUGGAAGUGGUAUAGAGCUGGAGAGAAAGCUCAGCAGUUAAGAGCACUGACUGCUCUUCCAGAGGUCCUAAGUUCAAUUCCCAGCAACUACAUGGUGGCUCACAACCAUCUGCAAUGGGAUCUGAUGCCCAUUUCUGAUGUGUCUGAAGACAGCUAUAGUAUACUCGUAUACACAAAACAAAUAAAUCUUUUUUAAAAUGGAAGUGGUAUAUGCAUGAUUGAACCUGACCAGGUCCUGAUGGCACAAGUGAGUCACAUGAAGAAGUUGCCCAAAUGCCUAUGAUUUCUGCUCUUGUUACAGUGCAGUCUUACUGCCAAGCAUACACCUAUAGUUUCAUGGGGUGUUCCCUACAAUCAGCGUACUGAGAAGGAGACAGCUAGGGCCUGGUUUACUGAUGGUUGUGCACUUUAUACAGUCACCGCCCAGAAGUAGACAGCUGGAGCAUUAAAAACCCUUUUUGGGACAACUCUAAAAGAUGCUGACAAAGGGAAUUCUUCACAGUGGGCAGAACUUGGCCAAAUGAAUGAUUGUUCACUGAUUCACGUGCUGUAAAAUGGAUUGGCUGAAUAGUCACGGACAUGGAAAGAUCAUGAUUGGAAAAUUGGUGAGAAAAACAUCUGAGGAAGACAUAUGUAGAUGUACAGAGGAUGUGAAGAUAUUUGUGUCCCAAGUAAAUGCUCUUCAAAAGGUGACUUCAGCUAAGGAGUUCAUUAAUCAAGUAGAUAGGAUGACCUAUUCUGGGGACAGUCAACCUCUUUCCCUAGCCAUUCCUGUCAUUGCCCAAUGUCCACAUGAACAAAAUGGCCAUGGUGGCAUAGGUGGGGGUUAUGCAUGGGCUCAAUGAUACAGACUUUCACUCAUCAAGACUGACCUGGCUACAGCUGUUCUGAGUGCCAAAUCUGCCAUGCCAACAUCAGAGACCAACAUUGAAACCCAGAUAUGAUGCCAUUACCUGGGGUGAUCAUCCAGCAACCUGGUGGGAGGCUGACCACAUUGGACCAUUUCCUCCACGGAAAGGACAGUGCUUUAUCUUUACUGGAGUAAAUAGUCUGGUUACAGAUUUGCAUUUCCUGCACCAUAAUGCUUCUGCCAAAACCACAAUUUAUGAACUUACAGAUUGCCUUAUCCAUCAUCAUAGUAUUCCACAAAGUAUUGCUUCUGACCAAGGUACUCACUUCACAGCCAGAGAGAAGUGUGACAGUGGACCCAUGAUCAUGGAAUCCACUGGUCUUACCAUGUUCUCCACCAUCCUAAAGCAGCUGGCCAGAUAGAAAUAUGGAAUGGCCUUUUAAAGACACAGUUACAGUGCCAGUUAAGUAGCAGCAGCCUAGAGGGCUGAGGUAGGGUUCUUCAGAAGACAGUAUAUACUUUGAGUCAGCAUCCAGUGUAAGGUACAAUUUCUCCCAUAGCUAGGAUCCAUGGGUCCAGGAAUCAAGGGCUGGAAAAGGGAAUAUUUUCACACGCCAUCACCCCUAAUGAACCCUAGGGAAAAAAUGCUUUCUGUUCCUGCAACCCUAAGUUCUUUGGUUCCAGAGGGAGAAGUCUCCUGCCAGGAGCUGC